CGGCGGCGGCGGCGGCGGCGGAGGCGCCCGGUCCCGGCCGCGCGGAGCGGACAUGUGCAGGCUGGGCUAGGAGCCGCCGCCUCCCCCCCGCCCAGCGAUGUAUUCAGCGCCCUCCGCCUGCACUUGCCUGUGUUUACACUUCCUGCUGCUGUGCUUCCAGGUACAGGUGCUGGCGGCCGAAGAGAACGUGGACUUCCGCAUCCACGUGGAGAACCAGACGCGGGCUCGGGACGAUGUGAGCCGUAAGCAGCUGCGGCUGUACCAGCUCUACAGCCGGACCAGUGGGAAGCACAUCCAGGUCCUGGGCCGCAGGAUCAGUGCCCGCGGCGAGGACGGGGACAAGUAUGCCCAGCUCCUAGUGGAGACAGACACCUUCGGUAGUCAAGUCCGGAUCAAGGGCAAGGAGACGGAAUUCUACCUAUGUAUGAACCGGAAAGGCAAGCUCGUGGGGAAGCCCGAUGGCACCAGCAAGGAGUGUGUAUUCAUUGAGAAAGUCCUGGAGAACAACUAUACAGCCCUGAUGUCCGCCAAGUACUCUGGCUGUCAUUUAUUUAUUGUCCGCUGCAAGCUGUCCCGAGACACCGCGCAGGGAAGGUGUGCCCCUCGGAAUUCUCUGGCGCCUCGACUUCCGACGACAGACGGCCUCGUCCAAUCUAGUGACCCUGCAUUGCUCGCAGUUCUGGAGGAUGCUGCUAUCGACCUUCCGUGACUCACGUGACCUAGUACACCAAUGAUAAGGGAAUAUUUUAAAACCAGCUAUAUUAUAUAUAUUAUAUAUAUAUAAGCUAUUUAUUUCACCUCUCUGUAUAUUGCAGUUUCAUGAACCAAGUAUUACUGCCUCAACAAUUAAAAACAAUCGACAAAUUAUUUAAAAAAAACAUGAGGGCCGAUGUAAUGUUCAGAAGAGAGAGCAGAGUAAAUAAUUCGGGAUUAUUCCUGCCCAGUAAGAGCUGGAAGACACCCAGGCAGGUGUUUUGCCCUCAGUCUUCUCUCCAUUUCUCUUUAACCUCAUCACUUUAGAGAAGAAGCAAUCACAACCCAGACAGGAAGAGCGACUUGCUCCAGGGCACCCAGUGAGUUAAUGACAGAGCUCAUUAGAUGACCAGUGAAUAGUGAUGAUAGUGAUUAAUAAAC